AUUGAACGCUGGCGGCAGGCCUAACACAUGCAAGUCGAACGAGUGGCGGACGGGUGAGUAAUGUCUGGGAAAGUGCCCGAUGGAGGGGGAUAACUACUGGAAACGGUAGCUAAUACCGCAUACCAUCGGAUGUGCCCAGAGGGGAUUAGCUAGUAGGUGGGUUAACGUCUCCCUUAGGCGACGCGCCCUAGCUGGUCUGAGAGGAUGCCCAGCCACACUGUAACUGAGACACGGUCCAGACUCCUACGGGAGGCAGCAGUGGGGAAUAUUGCACAAUGGGCGCAAGCCUGAUGCAGCCAUGCCGCGUGUAUGAAGAAGGCCUUCGGGUUGUAAAGUACUUUCAGCGGGGAGGCGUUACUCGCAGAAGAAGCACCGGCUAACUCCGUGCCAGCAGCCGCGGUAAUUC
rnacentral:rRNA from 1 species